rnacentral:snRNA from 1 species
AUACAUACCUGGCAGGGGAGGUACCAUGAUCACGAAGGUGGUUGUCCCAGGGCGAGGCUUACCAUUGCACUGCAGAUGAGUUGACCUCUGUGAUUUCCUCAAAUGUGGGAAAACUCAACCGCAUAAUUUAUGGUAGUGGGGGACUGCAUCCGUGCUUUCCCCUG